GACGAACGCUGGCGGCGUGCUUAACACAUGCAAGUCGAACGGUAAGGCCCUUCGGGGUACACGAGUGGCGAACGGGUGAGUAACACGUGGGUGAUCUGCCCUGCACUUCGGGAUAAGCCUGGGAAACUGGGUCUAAUACCGGACAGGACUCCGGACCGCAUGGUCCGGGGUGGAAAGCUUUUGCGGUGUGGGAUGGGCCCGCGGCCUAUCAGCUUGUUGGUGGGGUGAUGGCCUACCAAGGCGACGCCGGGUAGCCGGCCUGAGAGGGUGACCGGCCACACUGGGACUGAGAUACGGCCCAGACUCCUACGGGAGGCAGCAGUGGGGAAUAUUGCACAAUGGGCGCAAGCCUGAUGCAGCGACGCCGCGUGAGGGAUGACGGCCUUCGGGUUGUAAACCUCUUUCAGCAUCGACGAAGCGAAAGUGACGGUAGGUGCAGAAGAAGGACCGGCCAACUACGUGCCAGCCGCCGCCGUAA
rnacentral:rRNA from 1 species